rnacentral:rRNA from 1 species
UGGGGAAUAUUGGACAAUGGGGGGAACCCUGAUCCAGCCAUGCCGCGUGUGUGAAGAAGGCCUUAUGGUUGUAAGCACUUUAAGCGAGGAGGAGGGUACUGGUAUUAAUACUACCAGCUACUGGACGUUACUCGCAGAAUAAGCACCGGCUAACUCUGUGCCAGCAGCCGCGGUAAUACAGAGGGUGCAAGCGUUAAUCGGAAUUACUGGGCGUAAAGCGCGCGUAGGUGGUUCGUUAAGUUGAAUGUGAAAGCCCCGGGCUCAACCUGGGAACUGCAUCCAAAACUGGCGGGCUAGAGUAGGGCAGAGGGUGGUGGAAUUUCCUGUGUAGCGGUGAAAUGCGUAGAUAUAGGAAGGAACACCAGUGGCGAAGGCGACCACCUGGGCUCAUACUGACACUGAGGUGCGAAAGCGUGGGGAGCAAACAGG